rnacentral:rRNA from 1 species
AACGAACGCUGGCGGCGUACAUGAGACAUGCAAGUCGAACGAGUACCGGGCUUGCUCGGUGCUAGUGGCGGACGGCUGAGUAACGCGUAGGUGACCUACCCCGAAGUGGGGAAUAACUGCCCGAAAGGGUGGCUAAUACCGCAUGUGGUCGCACGUUCAUUCGUGCGAGUAAAGCCGCAAGGCGCUUCGGGAGGGGCCUGCGUCCGAUUAGCUCGUUGGUGGGGUAAUGGCCUACCAGGGCGACGAUCGGUAGGUGGUCUGAGAGGACGAUCACCCAGAAGGGGACUGAGACACGGCCCAGACUCCUACGGGAGGCAGCAGUCGGGAAUUUUGCUCAAUGGGGGAAACCCUGAAGCAGCAACGCCGCGUGAGGGAUGAAGGCCUUCGGGUUGUAAACCUCUUUUGUCAGGGACGAUGAUGACGGUACCUGGCGAAUAAGUCACGGCUAACUACGUGCCAGCAGCCGCCGUAAAAC